rnacentral:rRNA from 1 species
UACCAGCACCCCGAGUGGUCGGGACGAUUAUUGGGCCUAAAGCAUCCGUAGCCGGUCUUGCAAGUCUUCCGUUAAAUCCAGCUGCUUAACAGAUGGGCUGCGGAGGAUACUACAAGGCUAGGAGGCGGGAGAGGCAAGCGGUACUCAGUGGGUAGGGGUAAAAUCCUCUGAUCCAUUGAAGACCACCAGUGGCGAAGGCGGCUUGCCAGAACGCGCUCGACGGUGAGGGAUGAAGGCUGGGGGAGCAAACCGG